rnacentral:rRNA from 1 species
AUUGAACGCUGGCGGCAGGCCUAACACAUGCAAGUCGAGCGAGGGGCGGACGGGAGAGUAAUGUAGGGGGAAUGCCCGAUAGAGGGGGAUAACUACUGGAAACGGUGGCUAAUACAGCAUACUAUCGGAUAACCGAGAUGGGAUUAGCUAGUAGGUGAGGUAAUGGCUCACCUAGGCGACGAUCCCUAGCUGGUCUGAGAGGAUGAUCAGCCACACUGGGACUGAGACACGGCCCAGACUCCUACGGAGGCAGCAGUGGGGAAGAUUGCACAAUGGGCGCAAGCCUGAUGCAGCCAUGCCGCGUGUAUGAAGAAGGCCCUAGGGUUGUAAAGUACUUUCAGUCGGGAGGCGUUACCGACAGAAGAAGCACCGGCUAACUCCGUGCCAGCCGCCGCGGUAAUAC